GAAACGGAAGUGAAUGCCGUACUCCGCGUGCAGGCCCGCCUCCUUCCACAUCAACCAGUCUAAGGUUGCUCCCACCAGACUAGGAGGACUGGAGAGUAGGGUUGGGGUCAAAGGGUAGCCUCCUGCAGGUCGCCUCCUCCUGUGGCUUUCCCGGACGUCGCGCUGGGACUUCCUGCCGACACCGCACUUCUUCCCAGACUCCCACCUGCGCCGCUGGGGGCUUGGGUCCAGAUUUCCAGGGUCUUUGAAGAUGUUAGUUCACUGUUUAUUCAUGUGGGUUCCUGUAAAUGUCUGCAGCCAAUCUGGAAGUGGAGCUGUAUUUGGAACUUUUUGAAUCUAAAUCAGUUUGGGAGAAGUGAGUCUUUUCAGAAUUUGACCUUUCAAUGAAUGUCUCAAAUUUGUUUACGUCAUCUUUAAUGUUUUCAAUACUGUCUUCAAAACAAUUUGGUAAGUUUAAAAUUUAUUCUUCCACAAUUUUGGUAAGUUUAAAAUUUAUUCUUCCAUAUGUUAUACCAUUGUUGCUCUUAUAAAUGGUAUUGACUUUUAAAUUUUAUUAUUUCUAUUCCUGAGUAUAAGUUGCAAGUUUAUCUUUAUUAAGAUAGUAAACAUUUUCAUUAAUUUAAAUAUAGAUCCUUUGAAAUUUUCCAUUUAGGUAAUCAUAUUAUAAAUAAUGACAGAUUUACUUCUACCUUUCUGGUCCUUAGGUUUUUAAAUAUCUUUUCCUAGCCUGCCUCACUUAAGAUUCCAGUAAAAUACUAAGUAGUGGAUACCAUUGUCAUCUUCCUGAUUUUAAACUCAUUUUCUAUUUUCCACCAUUCAUUUAUUGUUUACUUUUGCAUUUUUUUAUACAAUGUUUAUCAUAUUUUCAAAGAUUUUUCUCAGUAAUACCUCUUUAUGGCUUUUUCUUUAUCUACUGAGAUUAUCCUAUUUUUUCAAUAAUGCAUUAAAUGCUUUGAACACUGCCUCAU
ensembl:lncRNA novel transcript